rnacentral:lncRNA from 1 species
CAAUUCCCUGCAGAUAUUUCCUAUUUCAGUUCCCGCGUCCCGUCCCCCACACACAGUCACACAGAAUGGCAGCGGCAGUGAAUUGCUACCUCUCAGUGACUUCAACAGCCACACCCACAUCUCAAGAUUCUCCACAGCCAACAAUCACUAGGCCGCCGACCAAGAUCAUACUGCCCAAUAAAAAGCCUAUGAAAUGGUCUACAGGGGUGGCUCCGGGUGAGUAUGGGGGCCCACCCACCACAACGAAGCUCAGGAAAUACUGGGGUGGAGAUGAGGACCCUCUUGCCUCUGAUGAAUACUUGUGGAACAAAGACUUCAUGGGUCGAAUGAAAAAGUUCAUUCAAGACCCCGUCGAUGUCGACACUAAUUCUGACCCUCGAUUCUCAUCUGCGAAGGUCCAGUAUUUGGCCAAUUGAUUAUUUUUGGUUUGUCAUUAUCUGGGUUUUUUUGAGUGAUUUAUAUUGUGGGUUUUAUUUUUGCUGUUGCUUUUGUAUGAGAAAUUAGUAAAAAUGGGGAUUUUUUGAGAUUUAUUGUUUUGGAAUUUGGAACUUGGAUAAUACUGCUUGUUGAACAUUGUAUAGGGAUGUCUAGGGUCAUUUUUUCCCCUUCUUUUCACAGAGAAUUUCUAGAAUGUUCUGCUUGUCUAAUUAAUUGACUGUUCUACGAAGUACUGCUGAUCUAAUUUUGCGGUUUCAUUCCGAAACUGUUUGUUCUGAUUUUACCACAGAUCGAAUUUUUAUUGCUUUUAGUUGAUGAAUAUAUUGUCCAGGUAUCAGCACUGAAUUUGAUAAAUUAUACUGUUUUGGUAUGUUUCUGAACAGGAAGAGCCUUGUGGAUUUCUUAGCUUGAACAGAGUGAUGAGCUUGGACAGGUGCACAACCUUUUAUUUUUGGAAAUUGUUAUUUUAUUUUGUCUUGAAUUCCUAUACUGCUUUCCCGUGUAAUAGUCCCACUCUUUGAGGAUGCAGUUUGGAAAUUGACUUGAGCAAAGAGUUAACAGCGACUUCAAGAUCUGCGGUUGAACCACGAGUUGAAGAAAUUCAAGUGUGACAGAUUUUAAGUUCCCUUUGAAAAAAUGGUCUGUAAAACUAGUUUGCAUUUGUUAUUUUCCAUACUCAUCAGGAUUGAAAUAAUUUGUAGAGUAAUAGCAUUGCUUCUCGAAAAUGGAGACCAGCCCCAACACGACGUGAGCUAGAGAAGUGGGACAGAGCUACUAAAGCUGCAACUGGAGGCAGUGUAUGUAGUUUCAUUUUGGAUAUACAAUUUUCUUCUCAUCUUAUAUGCUUAAACUUCUGUUUGUUUAAAACAAAUUGCUGAUUUUCGAGCUGAAUAUAUAUAUUGUAUUUUUUAAGAAAUCCUUUUACGUUAAUCCAAGUUUUCUUGUUCUGCAGGAAGUGAUGUUUAGGGAAUCAAAGCGUCCCAGAGGGGACCCAGAAGUGUUGGCUGCUCAGUCAAGGGAACAGUACUAUAAGGUUUUUUGAAGAAAAUAUUAGCUUCUACAUCCUUAAGAUCUUUAGUUGGAAGUUCCAAUCUCUCCUUUUAAUGUUUUUGCAGUUGAAGAAUAAAUUGCAGUUCCUCACACUGGGCAUUGGUGGUGUUGGUGUAAUCUCAGCGUAUUGUUCUUAUUCUCCAGAAAUUGCAGCAAGGUAAGCACCUUACUAGGAUGCGUUUCAGAAUUUUUGUAUGACUACUACUUCAACCUUGUGAAAUUAAUCUGCAUUAUAUAGAUGAUUUGUGAAUGAGAUGGGAUGUUUGACAUCUGGGAAACUACUACUUUUUGCAUUAACCAUCCUUUGCAAAUGACUUGUUAUUUGAAACCUCAAUUUAUUUUUAUUUUUAUUUUAGUUAUUAUUAUUAUUAUUAUUUUUUUAUUUAUAUUUAUAUUUUUUGUGGAUUGGGCUUCUCUUUACAUUUCUGAUUGAUCACAUAAUCAGGUGCAGACAAAUCCUUCUUAUGUUGACACUUACUCGCUGGAUCAUUUUCCGUAUAGCAGUAGUUCAUAAAGAUAUUCUGUCUGCCAGUAUGUAAUCAUAAUUCUUUUCUGUUCAGCUAUGGUGCUGGAUUGCUUGGUUCUUUGGCAUACAUGCGAAUGCUUGGAAAAACCGUUGAUUCUAUGGCAGAUGGAGCAAAAGGACUCGUCAAGUAUGUCUUUUUUUACUCCUUCAUGGGUUUCAAAAUCUUGAGAUAAUGGAUCUUAUAUGUACAUACUAUAAUGUUAAUUUAGUUGCCUCUGGUUUCAUGUAGAAUUUCUUAUUUAUGAAGUUUCUCUUUGAUGAAGUGUAGUUCUUUGUGACUGAAAAAUGCAUAUUUAAUUGAUGAAAUUUAGUUUAAUUGCUGAGCAGAACUAAAUUUAUAUUUCCUGUCAAAAAUUAAAUUUAUUGCAUACCUAAAUGAUGUAAUAUAGUUUGCUGUGUACCUAGAACCCCUUGUACGUCUGGACAUCUCUGGUAUAACAACUACUUAACUGGUAUAUGUGAUGCUUUUCUGACUAUUGGUGAAGUUUACGAAAUUGCAAAUUAUAAUAUCAGGUUUUUGAAGUAUGCCUGCUUCAGCUUUUCAGUGUAACCGGACACUUCUAUCGUAGACAACAAACGAGUUUUUUCCUGCUUAUUUCAUCUCUCUCUCUCUCUCUCGUGAGUACCAAUCAACUGAAUAGCAUACCAACCGUAACAAGUUUGGUUGGAGAAAAUAAAUCUUGUGAUGAGCUUUAGAAGUACUUAAAUGCCAAAUAUAAACCAGGCCUGUCUUGGUGAAAGGCCAAUUGGUUCUGACAUUUAAAUAUGACCUGCAUUUUACCUUCUGCAUCUUGAUCCUGACAAAUUAUAUCAAGUUAGAUCUUAUGGACGUAGUCAUGUGAUGUCCUACACUGAACAAUUGUAUUUUUGCAUCAUCAAGGAUGGCCUUGUUACUGCUUGAUGUCAACAUUGAAUGAAUUUUAUUAAGCGCCUAACCAUGACUGCUGUAGAACUACUUUAUGGCCAAAAUUCAAUUAGUGGUGUAACUGGACACAAUCCUCUUGCUUUUUGCUGAGAUUGACAUUUUUGAGGCAAAAUUUUGAACUAUUUCUUUUAUUGUAGUCAUAAUUCUUUUCCCAUGGUUUUCCCUUUUCCCAAGUACAAGUGAAAAAUAAGGCAACUACAGGUCCAUGAAGAAAUUUUAUGGAAAUGUUUACAAUUACAAAGGCAACAAGAACCUAAGCUUCUUUUACGUUGAGUUUUAGGUCGGUCACAUGAAUCCUUCGAACUUAAGGCUGUCCCACAUGUUUUUGGUUUUAUUAAGUUUGUGCUAUGAAGUUGAGUCAUUUCAUUGUGGACGUUCUAUAUUUGGAAGAUCAAAGAUGACCUAUUAGGAUCCUCCUGGUUUGCUCAUCAGAACUUUUUACUUGCAGGGGAGCUAUUGGGCAGCCAAGGCUAUUGGUUCCUGUUGGCUUGGUCAUGUUAUAUAACCGGUGGAAUGGGUAAGAACUUGAGAAAAUGCAUAUGUUCAUUCAAAUAUAUCUUUAUCAUUUUGAAUAAGUUCUUGGAUUAUAGUUUGGUAUCUCAUUAGGUGAUUUGUAUGCAGGAUUUUGGUUCCGGAUUAUGGAUUCAUGCACCUCGAGUUGAUACCAAUGCUGGUGGGAUUCUUUACGUACAAGAUUGCCACUUUUUUCCAGGCUAUCGAGGAGGCAAUAACUGUGGCUAGUGGAAAAACACAAGCUUAAUUUGGCUUAUUUAGUUCUAUAUACAUUUCAUUCAUAUUAGUUAUUACUGAUGGUGGAAAAACUCAGAUAUAUGUAUAUGUGAUGUUUUAUUCAUGUUAUUUUCCUUCAGUUAAAAAAAAAUAAUAAUAAUAAAAUAAAUUUGCUUUUCUUGGUAGC